AGAUUGAACGCUGGCGGCAUGCCUUACACAUGCAAGUCGAACGGCAGCGCGGGGCAACCUGGCGGCGAGUGGCGAACGGGUGAGUAAUAUAUCGGAACGUACCCUGGAGUGGGGGAUAACGUAGCGAAAGUUACGCUAAUACCGCAUACGAUCUAAGGAUGAAAGUGGGGGAUGCGCAAGCACCUCAUGCUCCUGGAGCGGCCGAUAUCUGAUUAGCUAGUUGGUGGGUAAAGCCUACCAAGGCAUCGAUCAGUAGCUGGUCUGAGAGGACGACCAGCCACACUGGAACUGAGACACGGUCCAGACUCCGUACGGGAGGCAGCAGUGGGGAAUUUUGGACAAUGGGACGAAAGCCUGAUCCAGCAAUGCCGCGUGAGUAGAAGAAGGCCGUUACGGUUAGUAAGCUCGUUUUAGUCGAAGGGAAGAACGGU
rnacentral:rRNA from 1 species